rnacentral:lncRNA from 1 species
UAUUUUCUCUAAAAAUGAUGAAUGAGAGAGUCUCUAACCCAGAAGUCUAGUGACAGAAGCAAGGGCGUACAUCAUCAGGGAAGGAUGUGCUGUGUCCUGGCGCUUCGGAGGCUGUAUGUGUUCACACCUCAGAUGCAACAUCUAGUUGUCUUUGAGUCUAAUUAUGUGAAGGAAGCCCUAGCCAGCUGACUUGGUCAGAUGUUGCCAUAGAAAGCCUAUAGAAGCUCAAGGAUUCUGUCAACAACCAAGAAGAACCUGCAACCCCAAGCAGAGAACAAACAAACAAAUAAAUAAAUGAAAUUUAAAACAAUGCAAAAGUCACUGACCUAAAGUGGGGUGUCAGGAAGAAUUGCUAAGAGGAUGUUGAAAUGCCUAGCAGUGAUGCAAAAGGUUACUGUGUUCCUGAAACAAGAGCAGGAUGGCAUGGAGGGAGCCCGAGCUAGUGAACACGGGGAGGAAGGAAUGCUAAACUGCUGUAACUAACCGAAGAGAGUGAAAAUACAAGAAGAAGAAAAAAAAAAAAAGACAAAAACCCAAACCAGCUGAGUAUGACUGCCUCUGCGGGGCUAGAGCUACACACUCAGCCCUGGGACGCUCGGGCACACACAGCCUUUAUGCCGUAAUUAGAGAGUUGAAGCGACACACAGGGUUCCUAAACUCUGGGACCCUCACGGUCUGGACACCUGCUGCCAGUGGGUAGGUAACUGAUUUAAAUAUCUUUUCAGAGGGGACCCUACAUUCAGUGCUCAAGCUUGGAGAGGCCCCAUGAUGGUUGGCAGGAAGGUUCCCUGACUAAUGUCCUGUUGGGAGCUGAGGGCACAAGGCUUGCUCAUCCUUCCACCUUGGGUGGUGCAUCCCAGUUUGCCUCCUUCCUCUUUUCUCCUGUCGUCCGAUGGCAUUGUGUCCCUAAAAAUGGAUUGUUUCCACACCCUCUGCUUUUGGCUUCCUGGCCUUUGGGGUUGGAAGGGUUCCUGGGGCACUAGGACAUCUGCUCCCUUCCCUGGUCCUCAGAUCGAAGCAUACAUGCAUCUUCCACCCCUUCGUUCGCAGGCACAGAGUGUGAGUUAAAGUUAAAUGGAAUCGGUCCAGUGUGUUAGCCCGUCUCCUCUUUCCAUCUAGAUAGAUGAGUUAGAGGCACUCUGCGUACCGUGUCCCUCCCCCUAAGAACUGGACCUUGCUGUGGUUCUGGGCUGAACAAAGGCAUGCGUUGGUCACACAGCCAGGGGCCAGGGUCUUCCCUGCGGGUUUUAGGCAUUCUAAACCCCAGCGUAUUAACUUUAUUCUCAUCUUAGGUUGUAAUUCAGAUGACAAUCUCUGUGAGCCAUCCUCGGAGCCCGACGGCCCCUACCACAGGCAGCAGGGUGAGUGGCCGGCGUGGUAUUACUUUUCUUGUCAGUAGCACUUGGAGUUUAAGCUAAGCAGACUGGAAGUCAAGAAAUCUAGCACACAGAGAGAUGAAGGUGGAAUUGAGGGACUGGGGGUGAGGGGGCGGAGCCUCUCUGAGCCCGCCUUCUCUGCAGCCCAGGUACUUCAUCAUGGUUCUCGCUGGCAGCCUUGACAGGUAGGAGACACACUGCCCCCUACAAGCCCCAGGUUCUAGAAACUUAACAUGUCUACAACACCCUCCAGGUGUGUGUGCCAGGGAGUCCUUGGUGACCAACAUAGGGGACAUGUUUUAGGAAGGCCUACGCUUUGUUCUUGCUUAGGUCCCAUGUGUCUGCGGUAACACUAAGUUGUGUGAAAUCUCAAACAGUGCUAAAACCGCUUCCCCCCUGUUUGUGGAUAUGUUAAGUUUCUGCAGGAGAGAAAACAGGUAAUAUUCUCCCAGGCUUCUCAGAACUACAGGUUGCUUUGGGUUCCUAUGUGUCCUUUCUCGUCUCUCCUUUCUCCCUCCCCUGUGCGCUCCUCCCUUGAGUCCAGCCUUCACACAUGCAAGACAAGCGCUGUGGCCAGCAAGCUAUGAGCCCUCUUCUCAGCUUUUAAAUUUAUUUCUAUUUUAUGUGUAUGCAUGUUUUUCCUGUAUAUCUGUCUGUACACCAUUCGCAUGCCUAGUGCUCAGAGAGGCCAGAGAGGGGUAUUGGAUUCCCUGGAGCUAGAGUCAUAGAUGGUUAUUAGCCACCAUAUGGAUGCUGGAUAUGGAACCUGUGUCCUCUGGGAAAAGCCUCUUAACUGGUGGGCUCUCUCUCCAGUCUCCGGGUCUGUUUUUAAAAAGUAAUUCUAGGGAGCUAGAAAAGUGGCAUAGUAUGUAAGGGCGCUUGCCAAGUGCAGGCCUGGCAGCCUGGGUUUGAUCCCCUAACUCAUGUGGUUGAAGGAGAGAGAGAACCAACUACUGCAUUUGCCCCCUGACCUCCAUAUGUAUGCUGGCACAUGUGUAUACAUGCACGUACACACACACAGAGAGAGCAAAUAAAUGUUUAAAAAGAAUAAAUGUUUUAAAUAAAAAUGAACGGGACAGUGGAUGGUUCAGUGGGUAAAGGCACUUUAGUUCAAUACCAAGCGUGGUGGGCUGAUUUCUGUCCCAGAACCCACAUGGUAGAAGGGGAGAACCAACUUCAAGUUGCCCGUUGCCCCCUGACCUUUGUACAUAUGAGUGCGGCAUGCACGCCAAACACACACACACAACAAACAAGUGU